rnacentral:tRNA from 1 species
CUGGAGUUGUCGCUUAGUGGUAGAGUGCUUGCCUAGCAUGUGUGAGUCACUGGGUUCAAUUCUCAGUAUCACAUA